rnacentral:rRNA from 1 species
ACGAACGCUGGCGGCAUGCCUAACACAUGCAAGUCGAACGAGACCUUCGGGUCUAGUGGCGCACGGGUGCGUAACGCGUGGGAACCUGCCCUUAGGUUCGGAAUAACUCCCCGAAAGGGGUGCUAAUACCGGAUCAUGUCUUCGGACCAAAGAUUUAUCGCCUUUGGAUGGGCCCGCGUCGGAUUAGCUAGUUGGUAGGGUAAAAGCCUACCAAGGCGACGAUCCAUAGCUGGUCUGAGAGGAUGAUCAGCCACACUGGGACUGAGACACGGCCCAGACUCCUACGGGAGGCAGCAGUGGGGAAUAUUGGACAAUGGGCGAAAGCCUGAUCCAGCAAUGCCGCGUGAGUGAUGAAGGCCUUAGGGUUGUAAAGCUCUUUUACCCGGGAUGAUAAUGACAGUACCGGGAGAAUAAGCUCCGGCUAACUCCGUG